rnacentral:lncRNA from 1 species
ACGUUGUAAAAUGUAUUUUAUUUUCUUGUUUAGACAGAAACAAGACCUUUUAAAUUAAUAUUUGCCGAAGUAAUCCUUGACCGUGAUACUACUAUGUUACAACUUCUAUAAAUAAACUAUACCGAUGCGAGUAUUAUUAGAUAACUAAUAGAUUUGACAAUAAAUGUCAUUGCCGUCUUAAGCAACCAAUCCACAGAUAGAUUCAAUUCAUAAUUAAAGGUAAAGGUGCUUUUGAGUCACUGGAUAUGAAAUGGAGUUUUGGAGUCGUCGAAACAGUGGCCCUGCUCCAAUUUGUUCCUUUAUUUGUUUUGGCCUCUCUGGAGCCUCUGGUUCUGCCUGACGUCCACGCUGUGUCUCUGGACCGGAGGGUGGAGCUCUGAGACGCAACGCAAAAGUGUG